GAGUUUGAUCAUGGCUCAGGAUGAACGCUAGCGGCAGGCUUAAUACAUGCAAGUCGUGGGGCAGCACAGGUAGCAAUACUGGGUGGCGACCGGCAAACGGGUGCGGAACACGUACGCAACCUUCCUUUAACUGGAGAAUAGCCCCUCGAAAGAGGGAUUAAUACUCCGUAACAUAAUGAUAAGGCAUCUUAUUAUUAUUAUAGCUCCGGCGGUUAAAGAUGGGCGUGCGCCUGAUUAGAUAGUUGGCGGGGUAAUGGCCCACCAAGUCUGCGAUCAGUAACUGGUGUGAGAGCACGACCAGUCACACGGGCACUGAGACACGGGCCCGACUCCUACGGGAGGCAGCAGUAAGGAAUAUUGGUCAAUGGACGCAAGUCUGAACCAGCCAUGCCGCGUGGAGGAUUAAGGCCCUCUGGGUUGUAAACUCCUUUUAUCUGGGAAGAAAUCCAUGUAUUCUUAUGUGGUUGACGGUACCAGAGGAAUAAGCACCGGCUAACUCCGUGCCAGCAGCCGCGGUAAUACGGAGGGUGCAAGCGUUAUCCGGAUUCACUGGGUUUAAAGGGUGCGUAGGCGGG
rnacentral:rRNA from 1 species